ensembl:snRNA U6 U6 spliceosomal RNA
GUGCUUGCUUUGAUAGUACAUACACUAAGAUUCAAACUAUAUAGAGAAGAUUAGCAUGGGCCAUGUGCAAGGAUGACACACAAAUUUGUGGAGCAUUACAAGAUGGC